UUUUCGAGCUUUAACUGUGAAAUGUUUGUGUUUGUUGAAAAACAAAAAUUGGCAAAUUUGGCAUAACUAGCAAAACUAGCAACAAAUUGUAUAUUGUUUUUGGAAAUAUUGUAUUUGUUUUAGAAUUCAUCUCUUCUUGUAUUCAGUGCACCCUGAUUAAACCAUAAUUUUCGGCAGAGAAAAUUGUAGAACACAUAAAGUGGAAUAUAUAAAAUUUUCUAUAGAACAAAAUAUUAUACAAGAUUUUUUCUACAGAAAAAACUGUUACACACACAAUACUUGUUAGUUUUGUACGAUACUGUAUGUAGCUAAUUGUAAUGACGAGACAUUUUCGUUUAUAAUCUAGGCGUAUGAUUAUUAUUUAUAAAGUACAACAAGUAUACUCAUGUUCUCUAAUAACUUUUUGGAAAAAUCGGUGAAUAAAUGCCAAAAGUGAUGACUAAAAAUAUAUUAAAAAUAUUAUUAACAUUCAUACAUAUUCCUACAAAUUGAUGGAAUUUUGCGUCACACAGCUUACAGGCAAAUUUUUUAACCUCUGAGUGUAUUUGACGAUGUCGUAUUAGAGAAUGACAAUUGGUAAAACCUUUACCGCACGUUUCGCAUAUUUUAUCACGUAUAUUUAAAUGAGUUUUUAUAUGAUCCUUUAGAUCGCAGUUUUUCAGAAAAUCUUUGGGACACAUGGUACAUUUAAAGGCACGUAUUUUGGUGUGCAUACGUGUAACAUGAAGGCCUAAAUUAUUUCGUAAUCUAAAACCUUUGCCGCAUAAUUCACAAACAUGUGGCUUUUCAGCCGUGUGCACCAGUGUGUGGAUCCUCAAUUCAGAAGGUAUAGCAAAUAAUUUUCCACAAAAUUCACACGGAUAUUUCUUUUCAGAGUGAACCCUUUGAGAGUGACAUUGUAAUGCAGACUUCGAAAUAAGUUUCUUCCCACACAGAUCGCAUUGAAAUGAAAAAUCUCCGACUUGAUGGACUUUCGUUAAGUGAUAUUUAAAAUUGUGUUCCGUAUAAAAAUUUUUAUUGCAAAUGUUACAGACAAUCUUCACUUUUAAUCGCUUCUCCGGCAAAAAUUUGCACAUUUGUAAAUAGUUUUCGCAGCUCUUGGCAAGUUCGGCAUCAUCUUUACUCUUAUGUUUUUGCCUUUUUGUUAAAUAGUACCAAGAUUGUAAUUGAUCUAUAGCAUCCGAUACAAGUUCUUCAUUAAAAUCUAUUUCAUGUUGAGUGAGCAGAGCGUUGCGAAUAUCAGUUAUGGCCUUUUGUUUAUCCUCAUAUUUCCCAUAUAAUGGAUGAUCUCCAUCGUAUAGUAAUUGAAAUUUCGCAUAUAUGUCAAUAAAUUUACACGUAGUAUCGUCCCAUUUAUCAAGAAUGAGUGGUUUCUGUUUUAUUGCAACGAAAUAAAAAACAAAACAAUUAUUAAAGUAA